UACGAAGGGGGCUAGCGUUGUUCGGAAUUACUGGGCGUAAAGCGCACGUAGGCGGAUCGAUCAGUCAGGGGUGAAAUCCCAGAGCUACAUCUGGAACUGCCUUUGAUACUGUCGGUCUAGAGUAUGGAAGAGGUGAGUGGAAUUCCGAGUGUAGAGGUGAAAUUCGUAGAUAUUCGGAGGAACACCAGUGGCGAAGGCGGCUCACUGGUCCAUUACUGACGCUGAGG
rnacentral:rRNA from 1 species